AUGGGUAUGGGCCUGAAGGGAUGGAGCGCUUCAGCAAGGAGCAAGAGGACGCCCUUCAGCUCCUCUCCUCCCUCCAGAAACUCGAGUUUAGGCAUUUCCACCAUCUUCAGCAAAUCCCUGAAGAAACUGAAGAAACUCAUAUUAAGGUGUUCUUGUGCUUCUGAUGGCUUUCUGCUACUUUGCUAUCAGUACCGCUUGUGUUUAUAUUUCUUCAAAGCUCAUGAAGACUUGAUGGUGUAUCUGGAAAGUUCAGUUUUGGUUUUCAAAAGGACAUCAUGGCAUAAUAAUGGAAAGCACUCAGUUCUCAGUGUUUUGCCGAUACCCCACGACAGUGUCUUUUAA
rnacentral:rRNA from 1 species